rnacentral:rRNA from 1 species
GACGAACGCUGGCGGCGUGCUUAACACAUGCAAGUCGAACGGAAAGGCCCCUUUGGGGGUACUCGAGUGGCGAACGGGUGAGUAACACGUGAGUAACCUGCCCUUGACUUCGGGAUAACUUCAGGAAACUGGGGCUAAUACCGGAUAGGAAUCCUUGCUGCAUGGUGGGGGUUGGAAAGCUUCGGCGGUUUUGGAUGGACUCGCGGCUUAUCAGCUUGUUGGUGGGGUAGUGGCUUACCAAGGCUUUGACGGGUAGCCGGCCUGAGAGGGCGACCGGCCACAUUGGGACUGAGAUACGGCCCAGACUCCUACGAGAGGCAGCAGUGGUAAAUAUUGCACAAUGGGCGGAAGCCUGAUGCAGCAACUCCGCGUGCGGGAUGACGGCCUUCGGGUUGUAAACCGCUUUCAGCAGGGGCGAAGCUUGUGGUGACGGUACCUGCAGAAGAAGCACCGGCUAACUACGUG